rnacentral:rRNA from 1 species
UACGUAGGUGGCGAGCGUUAUCCGGAAUCAUUGGGCGUAAAGAGGGAGCAGGCGGCCGCAAGGGUCUGUGGUGAAAGACCGAAGCUAAACUUCGGUAAGCCAUGGAAACCGGGCGGCUAGAGUGCGGAAGAGGAUUGUGGAACUCCAUGUGUAGCGGUGAAAUGCGUAGAUAUAUGGAGGAACACCAGUGGCGAAGGCGACGGUCUGGGCCGCAACUGACGCUCAUUCCCGAAAGCGUGGGGAGCAAAUA